rnacentral:rRNA from 1 species
UACAGAGGGUGCAAGCGUUGUUCGGAAUUAUUGGGCGUAAAGCGCGUGUAGGCGGCUUUGCAAGUCGGGUGUGAAAGCCCUCAGCUUAACUGAGGAAGUGCGCCCGAAACUGCAGAGCUUGAGUACCGGAGAGGGUGGCGGAAUUCCCCAAGUAGAGGUGAAAUUCGUAGAUAUGGGGAGGAACACCGGUGGCGAAGGCGGCCACCUGGACGGAUACUGACGCUGGAGACGCGAAAGCGUGGGGAGCGAACAGG